rnacentral:sRNA from 1 species
CCCCCGCAGCCCUGUCCAGCCUGGACGGCGACCUGGCGGGCCGGUACUACGCGCUCAAGAGUAUGACGGAGGCGGAGCAGCAGCAGCUCAUCGACGACCACUUCCUCUUCGACAAGCCCGUGUCGCCCCUGCUGCUGGCCUCGGGCAUGGCCCGCGACUGGCCCGACGCCCGCGGUAUCUGAUUGAAACUCUCUUCAAGUCUAAGGACUAUGAGUUCAUGUGGAACCCUCACCUGGGCUACAUCCUCACCUGCCCGUCCAACCUGGGCACCGGGCUGCGGGCAGGUGUGCAUAUCAAGCUGCCCAACCUGGGCAAGCAUGAGAAGUUCUCGGAGGUGCUUAAGCGGCUGCGACUUCAGAAGCGAGGCACAGGCGGUGUGGACACGGCUGCGGUGGGCGGGGUCUUCGACGUCUCCAACGCUGACCGCCUGGGCUUCUCAGAGGUGGAGCUGGUGCAGAUGGUGGUGGACGGAGUGAAGCUGCUCAUCGAGAUGGAGCAGCGGCUGGAGCAGGGCCAGGCCAUCGACGACCUCAUGCCUGCCCAGAAAUGAAGCCCGGCCCACACCCGACACCAGCCCUGCUGCUUCCUAACUUAUUGCCUGGGCAGUGCCCACCAUGCACCCCUGAUGUUCGCCGUCUGGCGAGCCCUUAGCCUUGCUGUAGAGACUUCCGUCACCCUUGGUAGAGUUUAUUUUUUUGAUGGCUAAGAUACUGCUGAUGCUGAAAUAAACUAGGG